rnacentral:rRNA from 1 species
GUAGGUGGCAAGCGUUGUCCGGAAUUAUGGGCGUAAAGCGCGCGCAGGUGGGUUCUUUAAGUCUGAUGUGAAAGCCCCCGGGCUCAACCGGGGAGGGUCAUUGGAAACUGGGGAACUUGAGUGCAGGAGAGGAAAGUGGAAUUCCACGUGUAGCGGUGAAAUGCGUAGAUAUGUGGAGGAACACCAGUGGCGAAGGCGACUUUCUGGCCUGUAACUGACACUGAGGCGCGAAAGCGUGGGGAGCAAACAGGAUUAGAUACCCUGGUAGUCCACGCCGUAAACGAUGAGUGCUAAGUGUUGGGGGGUUUCCGCCCCUCAGUGCUGCAGCUAACGCAUUAAGCACUCCGCCUGGGGAGUACGGUCGCAAGACUG